rnacentral:lncRNA from 10 species
CGCUGGCCUCUGUGACAUCCUUAUGCUACAUCCUGCAUGAAUGCUUCUUCUUUUAUAAGGUUAGAAGCACAGGAGAUGCUUACAGUUCUUAUGACUGGUUCCUGAAAGUGCUGCUGAAGAUCCCAAUGGAAGGCUGAGGCCAAAGUAAAGGGAAUGUUGAGUGAUUGCACGGAGAGGCCAAAGGAACAUGUGAUCAUCCAUUCACCUUGUCACUCAGUGGGCUCACGGUCAGUCUCCAACAGAAACUGAAUGUGCUCUGUGUGCCUGCCUUGAUCCAGAUACACUGGAGCUUUUAUGAUAUUUUUCAAAUAGAAAAAGGGCAAAAUAAUAAGAUAAUCCUACAUUGAGGAAAAAGAGGAUUUACUAAAGAGCAAUGUAUUUAAUGCACAGUUUCUGCAGUUUUUGGAGUUAAGGCAGCUAAGAUAUUCUACACUCUUGCCUCCAGAAAUCUCUCUCUUAAUAAUCUCAGAGAGUUUCCUUGUCAAGUGUUUCUAAGUCCUCAGCAUCCGACAGGAGAAAGAAUUUUCAUCACUAGGGUUCUGCAAUACAUGAUAUAAAAUCUACGAUUCUGUGACUUUCCUGGUGAAGCAUAUUGGUUAUGAAAGUAGAAAAUCUUAUCAAAACAAGAUUUAUUGCAAAAAACAAGAUGAAAAGCAUUUACCACAUUUUUAAAGCUCUACCCCCUGGAUCAAUGAUCUAGAGAGAUUUAUAAAAUUUCACAAGUUCAAAAUGACCAAAAAGCUUUGAAGCUCCUCUUCCCUAGAUAGAUAUUUUUUAUCUCAAAAAUUGCACUUGAUGUUUGCUCUAACCUGUAAGAGACUGUCUAUCAUAUUAGGAGCUAUUCCCUAGAAAAAGCAUUGCCCACAUGCUGUUAGAGGAGCUCUGAAAAAGAACACAUAACCUGCACAAUGGCAUAUAAAACCCUGAGAUUCUGGCCACAACAGCCUAGAAAAUGUAAUGAAUACCAGAGCAGUGCUUCUUUUACACAGUCUUUUUUGGUCCUAUUGAAUCCACAAAAUUAUUUUCAUGUAACAUUUUAAAUCACAUUAAGUAUGUAAGUCAAAUGAGCUCUUUAGCACCUUUUACAUAAGAAAUGAUGCUAUACCAGUAACAGUAACAACCCAUAAGUAAAAGAUACCUACGGAAUAAAGUCAAUUUGUGCUUAUUUGGGAAAUUUAAAAACUGUAAAAAAAGAAAACUUUGAACCAAGUUUCUUCAAAUUAGACUGAAUUCCUUCCUGUUCUGUUAAAACACAAAAGUUUUUGUCAUAAAAUAAUAGCACUUAUCGAGAUGAUUACUAAAAACAAACAAACAAAAACCUCUAACUACAGACAUAAGUGAAGACACAGCGUACUUUUGCACUUCUGCUUAGAGAAUCCCUAGAAUGACUCCAGCAGCAUGAAUGGCAGAAUUUAGGUCAAGAGGCCAAUUACCCAGUGUUACCAUCAAAGGCAGGGACAAGUUACCACUUCUCUCUGCCUGUUCCUGUUUUCCUUUGAGAGUCACUGUUACGCAACCACAGAAGUAACUUUAGAGGAUGCCAAAAAAAAAAAAAAAGAAAGAAAUAAAAGACAUUCACAAAGUCCUGGAAGCAACUAUACCUCUGAACCACUAGGUCAAAACCAUCCUAAUCAUCUCCACACCCCGCUGUUCCACUCCCCGUUUUCUUGCUACAAAGUGAAGUAAUAGGCCUAGGAAUUUUGGUCCAUUGUUAAUCAGUCAGUUUCUAAGUAGCACAGGCAGACUGAUAGUUCCCCAAUCAGCCAAGAAUAGAUUCAAAGCAUCUUAAACAGAGACUAACCUGGAGGUGACUGGUGCUGGGGCUCAGCUGUGGUCUUCCCUGGC